UACGUAGGGUGCGAGCGUUGUCCGGAAUUAUUGGGCGUAAAGGGCGCGUAGGCGGCGUGUUAAGUCAGCUGUGAAAUCUCCAAGCUUAACUUGGAACGGUCAGCUGAUACUGAUGUGCUAGAGUGCAGAAGGGGCAAUCGGAAUUCUUGGUGUAGCGGUGAAAUGCGUAGAUAUCAAGAGGAACACCUGAGGUGAAGACGGGUUGCUGGGCUGACACUGACGCUGAUGCGCGAAAGCCAGGGGAGCGAACGGG
rnacentral:rRNA from 1 species